GGGUUGUAGCUGGCCUUCCGAGGCAUGUGCACGCCCUGCUCAUCCACUCUACACCUGUGCACUUACUGUGGGAUUUCAGGUGCGUCGCUUUGCGGCGGCGUCACUCGGCCCACGUUUUCUUUACAAACUAUUGAAGUAACAGAAUGUUUAUUGAUGUAACGCAUCUAUAAUACAACUUUCAGCAACGGAUCUCUUGGCUCUCGCAUCGAUGAAGAACGCAGCGAAAUGCGAUAAGUAAUGUGAAUUGCAGAAUUCAGUGAAUCAUCGAAUCUUUGAACGCACCUUGCGCUCCUUGGUAUUCCGAGGAGCAUGCCUGUUUGAGUGUCAUGAAAUUCUCAACCUAUAAACUUUUGCGGGUUUGUAGGGUUGGCUAUUGGAGGCUUUUGCUGG
rnacentral:misc_RNA from 1 species